rnacentral:rRNA from 1 species
CUCAAACUCGCGCAGAGCAGCAUUGUUUUUUCAACUGCGAAUGGCUCAUUAAAUCAGUUAUCGUUUAUUUGAUAGUACCUUACUACAUGGAUACCUGUGGUAAUUCUAGAGCUAAUACAUGCUGAAAACCUCGACUUCGGAAGGGGUGUAUUUAUUAGAUAAAAAACCAAUGCCCUUCGGGGCUCCUUGGUGAAUCAUAAUAACUUAACGAAUCGCAUGGCCUUGCGCCGGCGAUGGUUCAUUCAAAUUUCUGCCCUAUCAACUUUCGAUGGUAGGAUAGUGGCCUACCAUGGUGGCAACGGGUAACGGGGAAUUAGGGUUCGAUUCCGGAGAGGGAGCCUGAGAAACGGCUACCACAUCCAAGGAAGGCAGCAGGCGCGCAAAUUACCCAAUCCCGACACGGGGAGGUAGUGACAAUAAAUACUGAUACGGGGCUCUUUUGGGUCUCGUAAUUGGAAUGAGUACAAUCUAAAUCCCUUAACGAGGAACAAUUGGAGGGCAAGUCUGGUGCCAGCAGCCAGAGUAAUCUUAUUUUUUGUCCUCCGAAGACGAGGUUUUUCUCUCAAUGGCGUUCGUUUUCUGUUAUUCUUUGGUUGAGCAGACGCUGGAGCGCAUUUACAUUUAUGUGUUCGUCGAAUUGUUGAAGGGACAAUCUGGAAAUUAUGUAACAUGGUUUAUUAGGGUAAUGUCCAAUACUAUGCACAGAUUUCGUGGAGACCAAUAUCGAUAGAUUUACCCGUUUAUCUGUCUUUACAACGCAUAGGGUUUGAGACGACUAUUCAACACUUGAUAAUGUUCAUAC